rnacentral:rRNA from 1 species
ACGUGUAGCAGUGAAAUGCGUAGAUAUGUGGAGGAAUACCAAUGGCGAAGGCAGCCCCCUGGGAUAACACUGACGCUCAUGCACGAAAGCGUGGGGAGCAAACAGGAUUAGAUACCCUGGUAGUCCACGCCCUAAACGAUGCCGACUAGUUGUUGGGAAUUUACAUUCUCAGUAACGUAGCUAACGCGUGAAGUCGGCCGCCUGGGGAGUACGGUCGCAAGAUUAAAACUCAAAGGAAUUGACGGGGACCCGCACAAGCGGUGGAUGAUGUGGAUUAAUUCGAUGCAACGCGAAAAACCUUACCUACCCUUGACAUGUCACUAACGAAGUAGAGAUACAUUAGGUGCCCGUAAGGGAAAGUGAACACAGGUGCUGCAUGGCUGUCGUCAGCU